UUGCUUUGGUAGCAUAUAUGCUAACAUUGGACUGAUGCAUUGAGGAUUGGCAAGGCCUCUACACAAGGAUGACAUACAAAUUCAUGAAGUGUUGCAUAUUUUU